UACGUAGGGUGCAAGCGUUGUCCGGAAUUAUUGGGCGUAAAGAGCUCGUAGGCGGUUUGUCGCGUCUGCUGUGAAAACUCAGGGCUUAACCCUGAGCUUGCAGUGGGUACGGGCAGACUAGAGUGCGGUAGGGGAGACUGGAAUUCCUGGUGUAGCGGUGAAAUGCGCAGAUAUCAGGAGGAACACCGAUGGCGAAGGCAGGUCUCUGGGC
rnacentral:rRNA from 1 species